CCUACGGGAGGCAGCAGUAAGGAAUAUUGGUCAAUGGAGGCAACUCUGAACCAGCCAUGCCGCGUGCAGGAUGAAGGCCCUAUGGGUCGUAAACUGCUUUUUACACAAGAGAAACCCGAGUACGUGUACUCGGUUGAUAGUAUUGUGAGAAUAAGCAUCGGCUAACUUCGUGCCAGCAGCCGCGGUAAGACGAAGGAUGCAAGCGUUAUCCGGAUUCAUUGGGUUUAAAGGGUGCGUAGGCGGACCUGUAAGUCAGUGGUGAAAUCUCUUUGCUUAACAAAGAAACUGCCAUUGAUACUGCAAGUCUAGAGUAUAGAUGACGUUGGCGGAAUAUGACAUGUAGUGGUGAAAUACUUAGAUAUGUCAUAGAACACCGAUUGCGAAGGCAGCUAACGAAACUAUAACUGACGCUGAGCACGAAGUAGCGGGAGUACAACAGAUAGAUACCUAGUAGUCGCACCGUAACGAUAGUAUUACUUCGUUGUUGGUCGAAUAUAGUACCGUCAGCGACCGAACGACGAAAGACGAGUAAAGUAAAGUAACCUACCGUACGGGGUUAGGGUUACGGUCCGGCCGAACCGGUAGGUUAAACGUUAAAAGGUUAAAGUUAGGUUACGGGACGUUGAGACGUUCGCCGACGGACGACCGACGAGGGGAGGAGGGAGG
rnacentral:rRNA from 1 species